UCAUUAUGGUCUACGACUUCUGUUGUCGA
rnacentral:sRNA from 1 species